GCCGCAACCACCACCUGGAUUUG
rnacentral:siRNA from 1 species